CCUAAUUGCUGCUAAAGAUCACGGGGUAACCCUGAUGACACCUGAAAGUCUUCCGUGGAUCCUCAGGCACAAAACAUAAAUCAUCUCCCUCUCACUUCUUACUGAUCGCGUUUGCUUGCUGUGUCAGCUGAAUUCCCAAAUUGGCCUGGGUUUAAAUUGGGACUUUUUUUUCCCUUCCUGGCCUGGCUUUUCCUCCACUCUCUCUCUCCAACCUCCUCCCACCCCAUGGGAAGUGAUGACAGAGGAAUCUGCCUGCGGACUCCAAAAUGCAGGUUAAAAGAGCAUGACCCAGGGGCAUUUACGACUCACCUGGAACCACACAGGUUGUUAAGAGUGAGGGCUAGAAUUUGGGUGACCUGUCUCCCAGGAGCCACGCAACCUCUCUGUGAAUGAAGGUGGAAUUCCAUGAUUUGAUAAUUACAUGGGACUGUAUCUCUCCCCUGGACUUUGGCCAUCUUUCCCACCGUUCAGAGAAAAUACGACUUGUUUCUAGACCUGAUAUUCAUCCAGCAUGCACCAGGAUGGAUGGAAGAUAAAAUACUGAAAUGUUUCCACACUGGUUGGUAAAUUACCGUCACCUGCGGAUACCUCCCCUGUAGUCCCAACAGGCUGGCUCGUCCUCCGGGAGAUCCCCCAGUGACCUCCCUAAGAUGUGUCACCUAAAGGGUUAAUGCCUGGCCCGGCAGGGGGCCCCCAG
rnacentral:lncRNA from 1 species